CAGCAGCCGCGGUAACACGUAGGGUGCGAUCGUUAAUCGGAAUUACUGGGCGUAAAGCGUGCGCGGGCGGUUGUGUAAGACAGGUGUGAAAUCCCGGGCUUAACCUGGGAACUGCGCUUGUGACUGCACAGCUAGAGUAUGGCAGAGGGGGGUGGAAUUCCACGUGUAGCAGUGAAAUGCGUAGAGAUGUGGAGGAACACCGAUGGCGAAGGCAGCCCCCUGGGCCAAUACUGACGCUCAUGCACGAAAGCGUGGGGAGCAAACAGGAUUAGAUACCCCCGUAGUCCCUGUCUCUUAUACA
rnacentral:rRNA from 1 species